CUCCGUGAUUGUGCUCUAUGUGAUUAAUAAUAACACCUAUUCGUUUCAUGGAAAAGCGAAAACAUGUACUCGGUGAUAAAAUUUACUGAAAAAGACGGCGGAACCGUAUCAUUAGUGAACAACCAGUGGUUUACGCCAAGGAGAUGCGAAUAUCAAAUUCUACGGACAUCACUCGGCAGUUCGUGGUCCCGGCCGCCAUCAUGCUUUGUACUGCUGCUCCAGCUAUCCUCCAGUGCAACUUGAAGGCCUAAUCCAUGCACACAUCGGUGUUUUUUUAUAUCUAUGUAAUACACUUGUCAUUGGCGAAGGUCCACGAGGCUGCCAUAUUGAAUAGAGAGAAAUUCUUUAAGGGCCAGUGAUCGAGCCAUGCUAAUUUGAAAUCGCGAGUACCUAUUUCGUAUAAUCACAUUAUUUUCAUAAAAUGACUUGAGGACCCCUUCCAUUGACAUGAAUGCACGGAACUACAAGCCGGCUUCUUUUCUGCGUUGGAUGACCUAGAGAAAGCAAAAAAAAUACUGAAACUGGUUGAGGAUACAUCAGACUUACAGACUGAAGCCGAAACAGAACCAAGUCUUAAACGUAAAAUGCAAAAAAGAUAUGUUUCUAGCAGCAGUGACGAAGAUGAACAGUGAAAAAGAAAUAAACAACCACUUCAAGCUGCUGACAAUGAAGGAGAUUAUGGAGAUAGUCGUCAAGCUCAGCCAAACAUUGCCCAAGAAACCGCUUCAAUAGCAGAAAGAACCCUCUCAUUACUGACUGUAGCAGAUGAGCUUCCCAUCUUGACAAACAGUGACAACAGACUGCAAG